rnacentral:rRNA from 1 species
GACGAACGCUGGCGGCGUGCUUAACACAUGCAAGUCGAACGGAAAGGCCCUGCUUUUGUGGGGUGCUCGAGUGGCGAACGGGUGAGUAACACGUGAGUAACCUGCCCUUGACUUUGGGAUAACUUCAGGAAACUGGGGCUAAUACCGGAUAGGAGCUCCUGCUGCAUGGUGGGGGUUGGAAAGUUUCGGCGGUUGGGGAUGGACUCGCGGCUUAUCAGCUUGUUGGUGGGGUAGUGGCUUACCAAGGCUUUGACGGGUAGCCGGCCUGAGUGGGUGACCGGCCACAUUGGGACUGAGAUACGGCCCAGACUCCUACGGGAGGCAGCAGUGGGGAAUAUUGCACAAUGGGCGGAAGCCUGAUGCAGCAGCGCCGCGUGCGGGAUGACGGCCUUCGGGUUGUAAACCGCUUUCGCCUGUGACGAAGCGUGAGUGACGGUAAUGGGUAAAGAAGCACCGGCUAACUACGUG